rnacentral:lncRNA from 1 species
AGAGGAGGCUUUUUUAGAUCAAGGUUCGACUCCGUGAGGGGGAGGCUUUUACAGCUCCGUCGUCGUCGGUAUUCUCCGGGAGGUGGAGGCUGCGUUAGCUCCGCCGCCGUCGGUUCAUUUUUGUCGGGAGGGGGAGGCUUACUGAGCUCCGUCGUCGCCGUCUUGUUUCCGGAGGGUGGAGGCUACUAUAGCUCUACGCUGCCG